rnacentral:sRNA from 1 species
UCGAUUAUUCCUGCCAUCCCUGCGAUGGUGGGUUAGCGUGUGGCCUGAGCACACAAAGCAACCCGCCCCAUGAGGCGGGUUUU